rnacentral:misc_RNA from 1 species
GAUGAAGAACGCAGCAAAAUGCGAUAAGUAAUGUGAAUUGCAGAAUUCAGUGAAUCAUCGAAUCUUUGAACGCACAUUGCGCCCGCUGGUAUUCCGGCGGGCAUGCCUGUUCGAGCGUCAUUUCAACCCUCAAGCCCCCGGGUUUGGUGUUGGGGAUCGGCUCUGCCCUUCUGGGCGGUGCCGCCCCCGAAAUACAUUGGCGGUCUCGCUGCAGCCUCCAUUGCGUAGUAGCUAACACCUCGCAACUGGAACGCGGCGCGGCCAUGCCGUAAAACCCCAACUUCUGAAUGUUGACCUCGGAUCAGGUAGGAAUACCCGCUGAACUUAAGCAUAUCAAUAAGCGGGA